rnacentral:lncRNA from 1 species
GAAUAAUGAAGAUGCAGAUAAGUUGGUCAAGGAAGGGGCUUCUUGUCCCUUUGUUGGACCUGAGUCUAUCCUGGGCAUCAGAUCUGAUGCACUUGGGUGGUUUGAAUGCUGAGUGGGCAACCAGUAUGAUGACUGAUUGCUCAGCACCUGUCUCAAUGAAGAUCUGUUCCUGGACUAAGGCAAGAAAAGGCUCUUAUUAUAAGUCCUUCUUUACAAAGAACUAGAGUUUCUUGCAUUGCAUAAAAUCAAGCUAAGAUUGUUAUAUGGCUCUUUGCAGAGCACUGUCAUUUCAGAAGACAUCUUCACUUAAUUGGGACUGCUGAUGGUCCAAUUGUAGAUGACAU